GUGUGUGUGUGUGUGAGAGAGAGAGAGAGAGAGAGAGAGAGAGAGAGAGAGAGAGAGAGAGAGAUACAAGAUAUAUUGUAUCUAAAGCUUGAAGCUUUAGCAAAGAUGUAUUGCGAACAUAUAAAUCCUAUUGAUUAGAAUCCAUUGGAAUAAUGGUGUCUUGUAAAAAGCUUAAACUGGUUUUAGAGAGAGAGAGAGAGAGAGAGAGAGAGAGAGAGAGAUACAAGAUAUAUUGUAUCUAAAGCUUGAAGCUUUAGCAAAGAUGUAUUGCGAACAUAUAAAUCCUAUUGAUUAGAAUCCAUUGGAAUAAUGGUGUCUUGUAAAAAGCUUAAACUGGUUUUAGAGAGAGAGAGAGAGAGAGAGAGAGAGAGAGAGAGA